AAAUUAGGCAUAUAGAAUACGAAAUGCUCUUAUUGAGUUAGCUGAUAGAGAAAUACCAUCUAGAGAAAGAAUUCAGGUUAGUAUAUAUCUAAAUCGAUUAAAAGGACCGGUUAUUGGAUUAUCUUGUAUGGGAAUUUUUACAGUUACCCCCUAUACCUUAACUGCUGUAUUCAGUCUACUGUUAACUUAUCUGUUGAUGUAUUAUCAGUUUGAACAACAAAAAAGUUAUUCUUCAGAUUCACGGGAAAAUCUAUAAGAAUGAACAAUUAAAAAGUUUCUUUAAUAGUUAUUGUUUUUAGAUAUUUAGUUAAACUUACUAAAAAUCAAAAGACGGGAAAAUAUGAAAGAGAUGAGAACAUGGAAUCUGGCAGAUGACGUUACAAAGAAAGCAAAGGUUAGAAAUUAAUUGAUCAGAAGGCUUUCAAAUGGAAAGACUAUCAAUUCGCUUCCCGUGAAAUAGUAUGCAUAUGUUAUAGCAUAGAAGGAAUAAAUGAGAAUGUGAAUCGUAGAGUUAUAUAACCCAAGUUAUAGUAUGGGAAUGCUCAAGAGAACACGAUCUAAUAGAAGUUAGUGGAUUGUGUAACAGUGGACAUGAAGAGACUGAGUUAAGAGAAAGUGGGAGAAUUGUAUAUAAGAAGAGGCCUCAACUUCUUUUUGACUUUUUAUGUUGUAAUAGUGAACAACCAAAAUAAUGAAUCCGUUGCAACAACCCCUUAAAGUGGGACUAAUAAUGCCGCGAAUAAAAAUAAUAUAUUCUAGUAUCUUAUAAAUAUCAGAAAUUGUGCUUUGAGUUUAUAUAAAUUGUAAAUUUAUAAAUAUU